rnacentral:rRNA from 1 species
UACAGAGACUGCAAGCGUUAUUCGGAUUCACUGGGCGUAAAGGGCGCGUAGGCGGCGUGACAAGUCACUUGUGAAAUCUCCGGGCUUAACUCGGAACGGUCAAGUGAUACUGUCGUGCUAGAGUACAGAAGGGGCAACUGGAAUUCUCGGUGUAGCGGUGAAAUGCGUAGAUAUCGAGAGGAACACCUGCGGCGAAGGCGGGUUGCUGGGCUGAUACUGACGCUGAGGCGCGACAGCGUGGGGGAGCAAACAGG